rnacentral:rRNA from 1 species
GUGCCAGCCGCCGCGGUAAUACGAAGGGGGCUAGCGUUGUUCGGAGUUACUGGGCGUAAAGGGCGCGUAGGCGGCUUGACAAGUCAGGCGUGAAAGCCCCGGGCUUAACCCGGGAAUUGCGCUUGAUACUGUCUGGCUGGAGUCCGGGAGAGGAUGGCGGAAUUCCCAGUGUAGAGGUGAAAUUCGUAGAUAUUGGGAAGAACACCGGUGGCGAAGGCGGCCAUCUGGACCGGUACUGACGCUGAGGCGCGAAAGCGUGGGGAGCAAACAGGAUUAGAUACCCCAGUAGUCC